CCUACGGGUGGCAGCAGUGGGGAAUAUUGGGCAAUGGGCGCAAGCCUGACCCAGCAACGCCGCGUGAAGGAAGAAGGCUUUCGGGUUGUAAACUUCUUUUCUCAGGGACGAAGCAAGUGACGGUACCUGAGGAAUAAGCCACGGCUAACUACGUGCCAGCCGCCGCGGUAAUACGUAGGUGGCAAGCGUUAUCCGGAUUUACUGGGUGUAAAGGGCGUGUAGGCGGGAAAGCAAGUCAGAUGUGAAAACCAUGGGCUCAACCUGUGGCCUGCAUUUGAAACUGUUUUUCUUGAGUACUGGAGAGGCAGACGGAAUUCCUGGUGUAGCGGUGAAAGGCGUAGAGAUUAGGAGGAACACCAGUGGCGAAGGCGGUCUGCUGGACAGCAACUGACGCUGAGGCGCGAAAGCGUGGGGAGCAAACAGGAUUAGAUACCCGGGUAGUC
rnacentral:rRNA from 1 species